CCGAGUGGUGUGGAUGUUUAUUGGGCCUAAAGCAUCCGUAGCUGGCUAAGUUAGUCCCUUGUUAAAUCCACCGAAUUAAUCGUUGGAUUGCGGGGGAUACUGCUUGGCUAGGGGACGAGAGAGGCAGACGGUAUUUCCGGGGUAGGGGUGAAAUCCUAUAAUCCCGGGAAGACCACCAGUGGCGAAGGCUGUCGG
rnacentral:rRNA from 1 species